GUGACCUCAAAUCAGGUAGGACUACCCGCUGAACUUAAGCAUAUCAAUAAGCGGAGGAAAAGAAACUAACAAGGAUUCCCCUAGUAACUGCGAGUGAAGCGGGAAAAGCUCAAAUUUAAAAUCUGGCAGUCUUUGGCUGUCCGAGUUGUAAUCUAGAGAAGUGCUAUCCGCGCUGGACCGUGUACAAGUCUCCUGGAAUGGAGCGUCAUAGAGGGUGAGAAUCCCGUCUUUGACACGGACUGCCAGGGCUUUGUGAUACGCUCUCAAAGAGUCGGGUUGUUUGGGAAUGCAGCUCAAAAUGGGUGGUAAAUUCCAUCUAAAGCUAAAUAUUGGCGAGAGACCGAUAGCGAACAAGUACCGUGAGGGAAAGAUGAAAAGAACUUUGGAAAGAGAGUUAAACAGUACGUGAAAUUGCUGAAAGGGAAACGCUUGGAGUCAGUCGCGUUGUCCAGGGAUCAACCUUGCUUUUGCUUGGUGUACUUUCUGGUUGACGGGUCAGCAUCAAUUUUGACCAUUGGAAAAAGAUUAGGGGAAUGUGACAUCUUUGGAUGUGUUAUAGCCCUUGGUUGCAUACAAUGGUUGGGAUUGAGGAACUCAGCACGCCGCAGGGCCGGGUUUUAAACCACGUACGUGCUUAGGAUGCUGGCAUA
rnacentral:rRNA from 1 species